GCUCGUCCGCUCUGGGUUAGUCGGGUCCUAAGCUGAGGCCGACAGGCGUAGGCGAUGGAUAACAGGUUGAUAUUCCUGUACCACCUAUAAUCGUUUUAAUCGAUGGGGGGACGCAGUAGGAUAGGCGAAGCGUGCGAUUGGAUUGCACGUCUAAGCAGUAAGGCUGAGUAUUAGGCAAAUCCGGUACUCGUUAAGGCUGAGCUGUGAUGGGGAGAAGACAUUGUGUCUUCGAGUCGUUGAUUUCACACUGCCGAGAAAAGCCUCUAGAUAGAAAAUAGGUGCCCGUACCGCAAACCGACACAGGUAGUCAAGAUGAGAAUUCUAAGGUGAGCGAGCGAACUCUCGUUAAGGAACUCGGCAAAAUGACCCCGUAACUUCGGGAGAAGGGGUGCUCUUUAGGGUUAACGCCCAGAAGAGCCGCAGUGAAUAGGCCCAAGCGACUGUUUAUCAAAAACACAGGUCUCUGCUAAACCGUAAGGUGAUGUAUAGGGGCUGACGCCUGCCCGGUGCUGGAAGGUUAAGAGGAGUGGUUAGCUUCUGCGAAGCUACGAAUCGAAGCCCCAGUAAACGGCGGCCGUAACUAUAACGGUCCUAAGGUAGCGAAAUUCCUUGUCGGGUAAGUUCCGACCCGCACGAAAGGCGUAACGAUUUGGGCACUGUCUCAACGAGAGACUCGGUGAAAUCAUAGUACCUGUGAAGAUGCAGGUUACCCGCGACAGGACGGAAAGACCCCGUGGAGCUUUACUGUAGCCUGAUAUUGAAAUUCGGCACAGCUUGUACAGGAUAGGUAGGAGCCUUUGAAACGUGAGCGCUAGCUUACGUGGAGGCGCUGGUGGGAUACUACCCUAGCUGUGUUGGCUUUCUAACCCGCACCACUUAUCGUGGUGGGAGACAGUGUCAGGCGGGCAGUUUGACUGGGGCGGUCGCCUCCUAAAAGGUAACGGAGGCGCUCAAAGGUUCCCUCAGAAUGGUUGGAAAUCAUUCAUAGAGUGUAAAGGCAUAAGGGAGCUUGACUGCGAGACCUACAAGUCGAGCAGGGUCGAAAGACGGACUUAGUGAUCCGGUGGUUCCGCAUGGAAGGGCCAUCGCUCAACGGAUAAAAGCUACCCCGGGGAUAACAGGCUUAUCUCCCCCAAGAGUUCACAUCGACGGGGAGGUUUGGCACCUCGAUGUCGGCUCAUCGCAUCCUGGGGCUGUAGUCGGUCCCAAGGGUUGGGCUGUUCGCCCAUUAAAGCGGUACGCGAGCUGGGUUCAGAACGUCGUGAGACAGUUCGGUCCCUAUCCGUCGUGGGCGUAGGAAAUUUGAGAGGAGCUGUCCUUAGUACGAGAGGACCGGGAUGGACAUACCUCUGGUGUACCAGUUGUCGUGCCAACGGCAUAGCUGGGUAGCUAUGUGUGGACGGGAUAAGUGCUGAAAGCAUCUAAGCAUGAAGCCCCCCUCAAGAUGAGAUUUCCCAACUUCGGUUAUAAGAUCCCUCAAAGAUGAUGAGGUUAAUAGGUUCGAGGUGGAAGCAUGGUGACAUGUGGAGCUGACGAAUACUAAUCGAUCGAAGACUUAAUCAAAA
rnacentral:rRNA from 1 species